AUUGGGCUAAAGCAUGUUUUUCAGAGGUCUCAGACGGGCCGCAUUUGUCAAAAGCUGUGUAUGGACACCUAGGCACUAUUAGCUUGGUAUUUUCUAAUCUGUUAGGUAUAAAGUUACCGAUGCUCUUUCGACACGAUAGAUCAGGCUUGGGAACCCAUUGAUUUGUUCCCCGACUAGUUACCAAGCCCUUACUGGGUGCAGGCACCUUGCUGGGCACUGAGAUUCGGUUGGCAAACAGAUUGACGUAGUUCUUGCCCUCGUGGAGUUUACAGUCUAAGGGGUCAGAGACAAAAAAAACCAGCCAAUUGCUACAAACACAAUAGGAACAUUCUAACCUAGAUUUAGAGUGUCAGGAAAGGCUUCUCCUGUAUGUCAUGUCCAAACACAUCCAAAAGACAGAUAGGACCUAAUGAAAGAGGGCAGGAGACCUCAAGGCAAAGGAACAGCAUUUACAAAGCCUGUGGGGGGGAGCUCCCAUGGUGGCUCAGCAGGUUACGACCCCCACAUAGUGUCCAUGAGGAUGAGAUUCAGUCCCGGGCCUUGCUCAGGUGGUUAAGGAUCUGGCGCUGCCACAAGCUGUAACAUAGGCUGCAGAUGUGGCUGGGACCCGGCGUGGCUGUGGCUGUGGCUGUGGCUGUGGCUGGCAGCUGCAGUUCCGUUUCUACCCCUAGCCCAGGAACUUCUAUACGCUGCAGGUGCAGCCCCGUAAAAAGAAAAAGAAAAAAAUAUAUAGAACAAUGGGAGCCAUGGAUGAUUUUUCAUAGACGGUUAUAAUCAGAUUUAUGUUUUAAAGAGAUCAUUCUUGCAGAAAUGGGUUGCAAAGCAUUGAGACAAGAGACCAGGAGAUCCAGUGGUUCCCUCCUGCAGUUGCCCAGCUGAGAGCUGCUGCUGACCCAUCGAGAAAGGCCUCAUGCCGUAUUUUCUAUUCAUCUAGUGUAAUUCGUUUACAGUAUUACACAUGGCUGAUAACAUUGCACUUGGCUUAGACUAUUCCUCCUAGGAGUCAGGCACUGUUCUAUUUAAACGGUCUCCGUUUUUUGUUUUUUAGCUUCCGUGCAGGUGAAGAGCGUUAGACAAUAAUCACAUGUUAAAAAUUAAUAUAAGAGAAGCCUUAUUCUCAGGGGCCCAAAGGUGGAUACAACUGACAUAUCCACUGAUAGAUGAAUGGACGAACCCAGUAUGGCCGGUAUGUGCAAGGGAUGGUCAUUCAGCCUUGCAAAGGGAUGUAGCUUGGACGCAUGGGACAAGGCAGAUGAAUUUUGAAAACCCGCUGAGCGAAGUGAGCCAGGCGCAAAAGGACACACACUGUCUGAGUGCACUUGUGUGAAGCGCCAGGAGUCACCCAAGUCACGGCGCUGGAAAGAGCAGAGGCCACCAGGGACUGACUUUUUGUUGGAGAAGAUGACAGAGUUCUUGACGUCAGUAGUGGUGAUAUUUGCACAGCAUCACGUCAUGCCACAGACUUACACACGUAACCUGGUGGAAAUGCUGUGUGUAUUAUACCGCAGUUAGAAAAACCACACCCCUCAUUCCCCGCACAGCCGAACACUCUGUGAAUCUGUAAGACCUGCAGGCAAGAGUGGCCCCAACGGUGUCAGUCGAUUGUUUUUCUGGGCCCAAACGUGUAACACAUGAUGGUAAAUGAAUGAAGCGGUAGAGGAGAUGAUGCCUGGCGGGGUCGGGGGAGAGGGGACUUGGAGCGGCGGGUGGGCUCCUUCUUUAGGUGACGUGGUUAGAGAAGGACUCGGAAGAAGUGCCAUUUAAGCUGAAACCUGACAGAAAGACUCAGCCGUACAGGGACCUGGGGAAGGAGCAUUCUGGGUAGAGAGACAAAGGCACUCAGGUUGUGAAGCGCUUGGCGGAGAGAAUAAAGAACAGGGGGGCUGGAGUUCCCGCUGUGGCUUAGCGGGUUAAGGACCUGACAACACAGUGUCCCUGAGGAUGCGGGUUCAAUCCCUGGCCUCGCUCUGUGGGUUAAGCAAGGACCUGGCGUUGCUGUGGCUGUGCUGUAGGCCGGCAGGUGCAGCUCCACGUUGACCCCUAGCCUGGGAACUUCUGCUGGACACUGUGGGUAGAGCCGAGUGGUGGGAGGCAGGCAGAGGCCAAGGCAGGAGCCAGGUUCCAAAAGGCUCGCCCGUCACAGGAGGGAGGGCAGCUUUCGUCUCAUCGCUGUGGGAGGCACUGGAGGAUUUUAAACCCGGUAGAGAUAUGAUCAGAUUUUUGUAACAAAAAGAUGACCCAGCUGUGAGGUGAUGCCUGUGGGGGCAGAGGUGACGACGUGGGGGGACAGCAGGCUGUGCCCAGGAAGGCAAGGCUGGGACACAGACGGCACCGAUGGGAGUGCAGCCGGCGGGCCAGGUCUGCAGGACCAGAGGGCCGAGGGCAGGGGAGCCUGCGAUUCAUCCAGGGCUUCUGGAUGCAGGUGGGGGCCGCUGAGGUGUCAGGUUGUUUAGGUCCUGGGUCCACACUCUUGAGACCUGUGUCCGGUUCCUCCAGGGAGGCCGUGUUUGUAAGAUGUGUAGCAAAGAGAAAGAGCUUUGGCUUUGGGGUUCGGGAGGCUUGGGUUUGAGUGAACCCCACUUACCAACUUUGGGAAAAAUACAUAAUCUCUUUAGGCCUCUGAAAAUGAGGUUAAUAAUGGGAAAUCUGGGUGCAGCAGGACCCCUAAAAAUGAUUGAUGCCUUCCCACCUCCCAGCCCCACUGGAGGAAAACCGUGGGCUCCGAAGUCAGUCAUACAAGGUCUGGUCUGAAGGAUCAGUCAGACAGGUCUCAGAAGACACCCCGAUUCCUGCACUUCCAUAUCGUAGCUGAAAAAGGAAAAAAGCGCUCCCCGGAAGCCUGCGGCAAGCUUCGGGGAGGCUGUGAACCCAGACCGCCAGUCAUAAGCAAGGUCAACCCCCAAACCUCUAAAGCCUUCUGGCAACAACAGAAAACACUGUUAAGUAAUGGGGCGGGAGGGGCGGGGCUGGGUCUCCUUCACGAGAAUGACAAAACCAAAAGACAGGGACAAAUCAGAAAGGUAUUCAAGUCCUUAUGACGGAGAAAAGUACCAGCAUGACUGAAGAACCUAAGACAGAAAUCCAAGGAGAGAGAGACCGCAUUCCCAGAUGGUGAUAUUCAAUAUCGACGUCGGUUUUUACCAAAUCGAUUUUAAAACUCAAUAGCAUUUCAAUCAGACUCUCAGUAGGUCUUGUGUGGGAGUGUGGAAUUUUCCAAGACAGAUUUAUACAGAAAGCACAAAGCCCCAAAAUAUCUAGGACAAAUUUGAAGACUCUCUGGAGAUACCUGCUGUAUCGGAUACUAAAACUGACUGGAAAUGAUGCUGAGUUAGUCAGAGCAACACUGCUGUUGGAAUAGAAGCACAGACCAAAGGAGAGACCCCAGAAAAACAAAUUCAUGCAUAUACAGAGGCUUGCUGUAUGGCACCAGGUAUUGGCAUCGCAGAUCGAUUAGGGGAAAUGACUGGAAGCUAACUCAUAACACAGACAUCCACAGAUAAAUUCCAGGUGUAUUAAAGACCCAAAUGUUAACAACAAGCACUUAAGAAAAAUGUCUUCAAAGUCUUAUAUUAUGGAAGGAUUUCACAGACGAGGUCCAAUUGGUAAGUCUGCCUACGUUAACGUUAAUCUUAUCUGUUCAACAGAAAAUACUGCAAACAAAAUGAUAAACUACAUGAUGGAGGAAGAUAUUUGCAUUUUGGCUAAAGAUAAUUAAACAUUAGUAUCCAGGAGUUCCCGUUGUGGCUCAGCGGUAACAAACCCGAGUAGUAUCCAUGAGGACUCGGGUUCGAUCCUUGGCCUCACUCGGUGGGUUAAGGAUCCCGAGUUGCUGUGGCGGUGGUGUCAGUCGGCAGCUGCACCUCUGAUUUGACCCCGGGUCUGGGAACUGCCAAAUGCUGCAGGUGUGGUCCUAAAAAAGAAAAUAAUUAAAAAAAAAACAAAAACUAGUGUCCGGAGUCUAUUUUAAUGCUGUAAAUGAAUAAAAUAUAGAAACAUAGCCUAAUAUAUAAAACUGGACAAAGAAAAUGAACAUAAAAUAGGCAGAGGAAAUUUAACUGGUGUGAAAGGAUGCCCAGCCUCCCUCGUUAUGAGGUUGUGCAGACGCCCGUGCAAUUGCUCAACCCCCCAGUCCCCGGGACAUUUGUGGUGGGUCACAGAGACACUGUGGCUUGGAGCUCGAUGCCACCUUCAUGCCUAACUCUUUCAACUUUGCCACAGCAUCAGCUGCCAGGGUGAUAAUGGAAGUCAGAUCUUAAGCCAAACCGCAAUGGGAUGAAGACGUGGCGAGGUGGGGAGGCCCGGAGCUGUAGGGAUAGUGUCAUAGCCGGUGGACAGCAAAAGUCACAGGAGGCCUGAUCAUGAGCUGAAAUGUAUGCCAAGCCUCUCCUUGUGCCCAUUUGGUACCGGGUAAGGGAAGGAGGCUGGUGCUCUAGGCAGGCCGAGCCUCACGUGGAAGGUGGUGACUCUGAAAAUGAUGUGGUACAAACCUGUGGCCGCCUCUGGCCACCUGGUGGCCUCUGUCCUUGUUGCACACUUACCUCAGUCUUAGUGAGGAAGCCAUGUCUCUUGAGCAAGACUUAUCACCCAAAGUCCCAGUGGGCUGGAUGCCUUCGCCUCCCCCAGAGGCUUUGUAGGUAAUGCCUUCGCUUAUCCAAUAGGUAAUGACUGAAGGCCCCACUCGUACCAGACACUGUUCUAGGUGCUUGCGAUACACCGAUGAGCAAAGUAAACACCUCUGUACUCCUGGAGUUUACAUUUUAGAGGGAAGGGGGGCAUUAUAAACCCUCAAAAUGGACAAGUAAAUGGUUUAUCUCAGAUGCCACCCCAGACCUACUGAUAAGAGAAUCUGCAGGUUAACCAGUUCCUCUAGUGAUUUGUAUGCACAGCACGGGUCGAGAGGUGCCGAGAGUCCUUAGCUUCUUCUGCCCUUACAAGUGCACAUCCAGUGAGCACAGCUGGGUUGGCUUUCUGCCAGACCGACACCAGCCUGUUCUCGGUAACAGGCAGUGAGGACACCCCUCACUUCUGGCUGUGGGAAGCAGCAUUCAUGAGCAGAUAUUAUAGGCAACACUUAGCAAGUCAUUUUUGAAUUUAGGACUGCUUCCUUGACUAUAAAUGUGCCCAUGUCUUAUACUAAACAACUACUGGCUAUAAUUAAGGCAACUCGAAUGGCAGCAAGUGGUUCUGUUAUUUUAUGCACCUUGCUAUUCUGGAACAAUUUAUUUUAGUGCUGGUACAUCUGGUUAUAGAAAAAAUAUUGACUUCUUUGCUAAAUAAAGGUAUUCUCACUAUUUUCUUCAUUUUAGCACCGAGAGAGAGGCAGGUAGUAAGAGCCAAAGACAGGAGUCAGAACUGCCCAAGGCAUCUUUCCAUCUGCAAGUCAGUGUCCACCUCUCCCACUUCCAGAAGGUUCUUUUCAUGUUUCUCCACAUGAAAACAAAAUGUCCAUUUUCAGUAUCCAGCUCCUAGUUGGUCUAUUCCAUUAAUAUUUUUAUUUUAUUUUUAUUUCAUCCUUAAAUGAAGUGAUUAACUUUCAGCUUACAGUCUGUGAUUCAUUUCAACAGGAAGCGUAUACUGACUUAGCCAGCUCCACAUACUUGCUUUGAACUGUUUAUGUCUUGUGAACUGCCCCUGAAGCCUCAGAUUAUUGUUUACAUUCUCAUACAUUUAAAUCAUAGUUACCAGGGAGUUCCUGCUGUGGCUCAGUGGUUAACAAAUCCAACUAGGCACCAUGAGGUUGUGGGUUCGAUCCUUGGCCUGGCUCAGUGGGUUAAGGAUCCGGCAUUGCCAUGAGCUGUGGUGUAGGUCGCAGACAUGGCUUGGCUGUGUUGCUGUGGCUCUGGUGUGUAUGUCGGCGGCUACAGCUCCAUUAGACCCCUAGUCUGGGAACCUCCAUAUGCCGCAGGAGCAGCCCUAGAAAAAGGCAAAAAGACCAAAAAAAAAAA
rnacentral:lncRNA from 1 species